CCUUUUCUUUCAAAUCUAUAUUCUCUUCUGAUGCGGACUUCCAUCUAAUUGGAAAAGCAAUAAUUAUUUUUCUCCGGUCAGCUGGACUGUAUCAGAAAAUCUAAACUGAAUAGAUCAAUCUGACCUGUGGAGGGCAGCAUUACACAAUUUAGUGUACAGCCUGCCGAAAUUCCAUUAGAAGAAGAAGAAGGGUAAGCUGCAUGAGAGACGAGCUACAGGAGCCUCUUACCAUGCCGAAACCGCCGUGCUGAAACCCGCGACGAACGAGUGUUUAGCAGACGCAUGGACUGGCCACGGUUUUGAUUGAUGGCGAGCUAAGGAGCAGGCCUAGAGCCUACAGACUGACAGAUUGCUGAAGAGCCGCAUCCUUCCUGCCAGGCUCGUAGGGGGCUCUCUGUAGCCCACAAGAACUCUCACCCCACUCGCUGCCCCCAUUGCCACUACACCCACACAUUCCCUUCACACACACUUUCUCACUCAUAUUCCCCCUGGACUCAAUCUCAAACCCAGACGUGGGUUUCAAUGAACUGUGGGUGGGCGCUGGGGUCAUGAUUUGUGUUCACGCUGAACCGAGUAUUUGGGAGUGUACAAUUGUUGACGCUGAGAUAUAUCUGUGUCAGUUGAAGUCUUAUUGCGCAUAUAGAUUAUUUGAUGUGCAUACUCAAGUCUUAUUGUGCAAAUUGAUUAUUUGAUGUGCAUAUUCAAGUAAUUGAAUGAGAGUUGAUUUACCUUGAACUGCUGUUCCUAGUCCGUGUUUACAAAUUGAUCGAUCUACUCACUGUACAUAAUUGCACUUUAAAUAUUGUAUGUCAUUUUUUCCAAUACAUGGUACUAUUUAAAAGCAUCUCAGUCUCCUGUCUACUCCCUCCUUGAGCGUCCUCUAGACUUCUGAUCACUAGCCUAUCACUGUGCUUUACUGGGUUAUACGUCACCCUGACAUUUUGAGGUAUCAAUACAGUGGUUAUUAGUCCUAGUAUGUUAAAUUAAUUUGACCCAGGUGCUACAUUUGGGUUUGCAUAAAUUGAUGUGUUAGAUGAACAUAUUAGUGAAGAAAGGUAGUGGUAAGCAUUUUUUUCACAGAUGGUCUAUUCUAUUUGCUAAAAUUCCCUAACUAUAACUGAAAUGGUCCUUAUUUUUAUAAUAAAAAUAAAUGGCCAAAGGUCAAAGUUCAGUCCCCACCAAGAGGAUUUUGUCUGUCUUUGACACUUGCACUAUUGUCUGUUCAAAUAAAUGAAAAGAAAUGGAUCCUUGUGCAUUGGACAGUGACUUCUGUGUACCCUUAGGACCCUGACACACCAAGCCUGCGGUUAGCUGUCGGUCAAAGUUGGGCCAUUGGUUAACAUCUUUUGCCCUAGUUGGUGCAAUGUGUCGCACUGUUGCCCCUUGUCAGUCCCUGUCAACCUUUUUCUUUUAGCUGAUUCAGCAUGUUGAAUUGGCAUCAGCAAUGCCAGAGCUCGUCAGUGAAUGAAAUCACUCUGACGAGCAGUUCAGCUCAUUUCAUGGGAAGAAAAACGGAGGUGGGGAAAGUAAACAAAGAGUUAAAGUCAAGAGGGAAUGAGAACAAGAACAUGUUCCAUAAGGUCAGAUUAUUUUUCAUCCACUGAGCUCUUUAGCAGAAAACGUUUCCUGAUGGUUUGUGUUAUUGUUUACUGCCGCACAGUAAAUACGCUCUGUUCUAUCAACAUUGGAUUGUGUUAUUAAUAUACUGACUGGCUUAAGUAUAAUCUGUAGUUCAAGCUUCAGCCCUAGAGCCAGUGAAAAACAGCUUACAGCUGAGAGAUGAGCAAGGAGAUCUGGGCGCUCGUAACUUGGUGGGAAGUUUACCAUAGUUCAUGUAAACACACUACCCACACUGUUACCAUACAAAGCUGGUUGAAAAUUGGCAAAGUAUCCCUUUUUUUUUAAGAUUAUUUUUGGGGCUUUUGCCUUUAAUGGACAGGACAGUGUGUGAAAUGGGGAAGAGAGAGAGAGUGGGGAAUGACACGCAGCAGAGGGCUGCAGUCCGGAGUCGAACCUGCGGCCGCUGCAGCAAGGCAGUGCCUCUGUACGUGGGGCGCCAGCACUAUCCACCACGCCCUGGCAAAGUAUCCCUUUAAGGAUUUAUUUCAACCAAAACCAAGUUGGUGAUUGUACAUUCACUGAAUGUAGAGUCUGUAUAUAGAGACUACUUAGACACAAACACCUUUGAAAAAUAGGGUCCAGGUUGAAAAAUACCCAUUGAAGUGAAGAAGGCCACACACCAACUCUGCAGCAUUAUACUGAAUGCUUUAAUUUCCCCGUUUUGCGGGCGUUUUCAUAAAUACUGACUGUAUCUAGGAGUGCUGAUGAGAAAAGCUUAACCACAUGUUAGAGAUGAGUAAGUAACCAGGUACAUUUAGCCUACUCCAGUCUGUACUGAAGAAUGCUGCUGAGGUACGUCUAACGCAAAGUUGAAGUAGCUGUUGAUAAUUACAAAUAGGGUUGCAGGGAUAACCAAUUUUAAGGUAUACCGUGAUAUAAAAGUUGAUGGCUAUCAUACCGUGUAUAUUUGCUUAUCUACAAU